GUGGGGAAUCUUAGACAAUGGGCGCAAGCCUGAUCUAGCCAUUCCGCGUGAGCGAUGAAGGCCUUAGGGUUGUAAAGCUCUUUCGCUGGGGAAGAUAAUGACUGUACCCAGUAAAGAAGCCCCGGCUAACUCCGUGCCAGCAGCCGCGGUAAUACGGAGGGGGCUAGCGUUAUUCGGAAUUACUGGGCGUAAAGCGCACGUAGGCGGACCAGAAAGUUGGGGGUGAAAUCCCGGGGCUCAACCUCGGAACUGCCUUCAAAACUCCUGGUCUUGAGUUCGAGAGAGGUGAGUGGAAUUCCGAGUGUAGAGGUGAAAUUCGUAGAUAUUCGGAGGAACACCAGUGGCGAAGGCGGCUCACUGGCUCGAUACUGACGCUGAGGUGCGAAAGCGUGGGGAGCAAACAGGAUUAGAUACCCCUGUAGUCC
rnacentral:rRNA from 1 species